rnacentral:rRNA from 1 species
GACGAACGCUGGCGGCGUGCUUAACACAUGCAAGUCGAACGAAGUGGCGAACGGGUGAGUAAUACGUGGGUAACCUUCCCUCCUUUUUGGGAUAAGCCUUGGAAACGGGGUCUAAUACCGACUAAAGGGGGAGGGGCUCGCGGCCUAUCAGCUUGUUGGGGGGGUGCUGGCCUACCAGGGCGGUGACGGGUAGCCGGCCUGAGAGGGGGACGGGCACCAUGGGGACGCAGAUACGGCCACGAGUGGUACGGGAGGCAGCAGUGGGGCAUAUGGCGAAAUGGUGAAGGAGCAGCGGCGCGGACGCCGAGAGGGUGAUGAAGGCUUUAGGGUUGUAAAUCUGUUUCGAUAUCGAACGGGUAGGUGGAGAAGAAGCGCCGGCUAACUACGUGCCAGCAGCCGCGGUAAUUC